GCUAGCUCAAUCAGUAGAGCAUAAGACUCUUAAUCUCAGGGUCGUGGGUUCGUGCCCCAUGCA
rnacentral:tRNA from 1 species